UUAUAUAUAGCAUACCUCAAAUGAAUGCCACUUUCCAUGGGACAUUCCAGAUUUCACUGUUAUCCUCUUAUAUCCCCUGACUGGCCUAACAAACUGUGAAAUUGAUAGACAUUAAUUGCUGCACCCCUAAGACCGCCUUUUUACAUAAUUAAGCACUGUGCGGAGGUAUGAUGUCAUAACCAGUGUUUCAGUACAUUGUGAAGGGCAACAUAGAUAAAUUGCUUUGCCCCGGCCCCAACUCAAGGUCUACCCCCACCUUGCCUCAACGAAGAGAUCCAUUGGACAUCUGAAAUGUUGGGGAUAUGAACUGCAUAUACUGUAAUUAUUUUGUAGUGGUUUAUGCAGGGCAUUUAAAUUACAUUUUGUAACGUGUAACCAGUGAUGAUCUAUGGUGUUAGAAAAUUCGACCAUAUCAAGGACCAUAUGGACAUAUGGUGACUCAUGAAGCUACAUGAUGAUGAUGGCAGAAUACUUAAGAUGUUCACUAUGUUUUAAAAAGCCAGUUUGUUAUGAAGAGUUAUACCUGCUUAAGUCCUGAAGGAUUAAUACCCUAUUGUUUCAAUAAUAUAUGUUUACCAGAUGUGGUGUCAGGUUAUUCAUAUCUGGCAUUUCCAUUAAUACUUAUAAUAUGAUUGUAUACAUUUACAACCUUCAUAACAUUCAAUAGGUAACUAGAACUAUUGUACUUUUUAGCUUGUUUAAAUUCAAACUGGCAGCCCGGGGCCACAAUUUUGGCACCAGCUGUCAGUGGGUGGCCAUGCUAUCAGAGAUUUGGUCUGACCAGUGCAAAAUGGCCAUGGCAUAUCAGGUAAUGCAUGUCAAAGGUCCUGUAAGACCAUGUCAUGGAUAAAAGAAUAAAAAAAUGAAAAA